AUGGCUAAACAAGAAAACUUCAAUGCUUAUGUUGGUAGACAAUUGAAAAAUAAUGCUUAUAUGAUUGGACACUUGAGUGAUUAUAUGUCUAGAGUUAAGAAUGAACUUAAACUUAUUAGUAAACAUGCUUCUAUGGUUACCACUCAAGUAGAACAAGUGCUUAAAGCUCAAAAUGAUUUGCUCAAUGAAUUAAAUGAUAAGAGAAAUGAUAAUGUCGUUAGAGUUAUGACUAGAGGGGGUAAAAUGACUCAGGAACCUUUGUAUCUUGAGGGACACCCUAAGAGGAUUGAGCAAGAUUCUCAUAGAAAUAAUGUUGAUGCACCUAGUCCUUCUAAGAAGAAGAAGAAAAAUGAUAGGACUUUGCAUGCUUCUAGUGAACCUGUUUUGACACACCUGAGAAUCCCAAUGAUAUUUUUAUUUCUGAUGCUGAAACACAAUCUGGUGAUGAACAUGAAACUAGUCAUAAUGUUAAUGAUAAUGUUCAUGUUGAUGCUCAACCUAGCAAUAACAAAGAUGUAG
rnacentral:rRNA from 1 species